UAAAUACUCCCUCUGUCCCAAAAUUCUUGUUUUAGAUUUGUCUAGAUAUGAAUGUAUCUAGUUACGUUUUAGUAUUUAGAUACAUCUAUUUCCAGAUAAACUUAAGACAAGAAUUUUGAGACGGAGGGGAGUAUAAG
rnacentral:pre_miRNA from 1 species